CUUGGAGGAAGUCUGUUCUCUCUUGGAAGUGACCCACUGCUGUCAGUGCACACUCUUCACGCUUCCCUCACAGAUUCUCCAGCUCUCCGUUGCAGUCCUUGUAUCCUCCUGAUAAGGACUCACAAGGGACGCUACAGUGAACUGCAAGCCUUCAACUGGAUCCUUCAGGUGCCAGGUGAUUGUUCCAGCAAUGAGAGAAAAGUGACUAAGACACAAACCUUUCAAACUGGGCAUGGUGGUGCAUUCCUGCAAUCCUAGCACUCAGUAGGCUGAGGCAGAAGGAUUGUUGAGUGCAAGACCAGCCUGGGCUACAAAGUAAAUUCAAGGCCAGCCUGUACUGUAUAGUGAGAUCCAGUGUCAAAACAACAACAACAACAACAAAAGGGAACAAAAGUUGCUGUUGUAUAUAUAAUAUUAAGGCUUGUUUCUUGCUUAUCAACUCAUAAUAUCCUCUUCCUGCUGCCCUAUGGUCUGUGCUGGCGUCACUGGUUUCACUUUCUGCAUGAAUCUAAAGAAGCUCUGCAUCAACCACAAAUUGUAUUGAAGUGGUCAUUUAGAUGUGGGUACUAUUAGCAACAUGAAUUUUGGUUGUUCUGUAAGUAUCGAAGCUACCCACUUCAGUGGAGUAGUGACCACAAACUUAACGCUGACUUCAGGACUGAUUUAUUUAUGCCUCUGAGUUGGCAUGUAAAUUUUUUUAAUUUUCACUCAUUUUUCUACCCCUCAAACAUUUGUGACAUUUUGUUUUUAUGAAUAAGUGUUUCCAGCAUCAUACAAUGGGAAUUUUAAAAAAUCAUUAUCAAUUGAUAUAUUAUUUAGCUUUCACAUUGCUUGGGCAAAAUGGGAAACAUCCACAUUUUAAAAGAAAAGAGGAGUUACUCUUUGUUUUGCUUGCUUUAUGUGAAUUGUCUUUUCCUUUUUGGUAUCUCUAUAAAUGUGAAGACACUGUAUUAAAAUAAACUCUUUAUACAAACAGUAUAUAUUAUAUUCCCUGCCUUCAGAAACAUGUUUUCCACUGUAAUUAUGAACUUUGAAUUUCAUUCCUGUAGAUAUGUCUGUGUGUAUAUGUAAAUCAAUUUAAAGUGGCAGAAAAUUCAAAUCAAUUUAUAUGAGGAAAUUCAGUUAGACUUAAAAAGUAAUUUAUUUUAAUUUGCAUACUACACACUUUUACAUGUACAUACGAUGGAAGCUUUCAACCUAGUCAGUUUGCUAAUAUGUGAAAUCAAUGUAGCCAUUUAUUUUAGACAUCUACAAUACAAACAUUCCACAUUUUGUCCCAUUAACUGACAUAUUUCUUAAAUUUUUGACUAUCUUGCUUCAAAAAAAUUCAUCUACACAUAUUUCAAAUUCACCCAGUAGAAUUUCUAAAUAUCUUUUUGCAUGCAAGAGCAUAACUACAAGAAAACUUUCAUGGUGGUUAAUUAUACUUUUACUCCAAAUAGAAAGACUUUUUUAAAUGUAAUAUAAAAAUUAUUGUUUACUUACAUACUGCUUUUCAUAAAAAAAUGCCUAAGGCACAGCAUGAUCCGUUUGUCUUCAAAACGUGAGACACGGAAGGAAGAAACUAUUUUCAUAGAAAUGCAUGUCAAUUUUCAUAAAUAAAAAUGUAUUAGUCCUUGUAAAAGAAAAAUGCAUCUUGAAUAAUAUCUUUCCUGUAGUUAUUUAUAAAGUCAGAGAAAUCUGACUUAUCUGAAGAGAAGCCAGAGAGGAGCUAAUUGAUAUUUUGGUUUGUGGCUUUCCAGGUCUCAGAUCUGGGUGACAUUUUGUUUGGAAUGUGAAGAGAAAAUGGGACAAAAUUUGAAAAUAAUACUUUUUUAUAUUUUACUUAGGAUCUAGAAAUAUGGUUUAAUUAUUAAAUUGAAACAAAUAUGGUGGUUGUUUUGUCAGAAUACUUAAAAAUGGAUUGAAAAGCCUACUAAAAUUAGUAUAUAGAAGACAGAAAAAAUGACAAAAACUGAAGGUGGAUGUGGUAGGUCAGGCUUGAUUAACUGUGUCAGCUUUAGUUGCAUCCAUUUAUUUAUAAAUAUCGCAAUGUGAUCAUUCUUUAUAGCUGAGUAGCACUCCAUUGUAUAAAAAUACCACAGUUUUUUUAUCCAUUCCUCAGCUGAUGGACAUUUAGGUUAUUUCCAAGAUCUGGCUAUUACAAAUUGUGCUUCUAUAAAUAGGGACGCACAUACCGCACUCUGCUAUGAUGUUUUCAGUUCUUUUGGGAAUAUGCCUAGAAGCAGAAUAGCUGCAUCAACUUGAGACCAUACUCAUAAGUGAAAUAAAUCCAACUCACAUGUAUAAAUAUCGUAUAGUCUCUCUAGUGUAAGAAAUGGUAAGAGUACAUAAGAGUUUAUGGUAAUCAUGACUCCUCAUUGCAUUGCUUUAGAGCCUUAAAAUGUUCCCAUUCAUAGUUGGAAUGGUUUUAUCUCGGAUUGUUUGAUUUUAUUAUCUGUGACGGUAUGAACAGCUAUUUUGAAGAAAACAAGACAUUAUAAUAGCCAGUGAUGAUUUAAUAUCAUCUUGUUUUGAAGUCCUACCACGCUUUUGUUCUUCUGUUUCCAUUGGUUCUAUCAUGUUACAUCUUACUGGAUUUUAUUAUGUAUUAUAGUAUAAACAAAUCUUUUAUGGACAAUGAGAUAAUAUAGUAACCAUUUUUCAUUUUCUGUUAAUCGGUUCUGAAUACCCUGUAAUACUUCCAUUUUCUUUAACGGUUUUAUAAUAUUUUGUUAUGUUUGAUACUAUUGUGUAUGAAGGUAUACUCAACUAUUUCAAAGAAAGAGACAUUAUGGUAACUACUGAUAUAUCAGGUUGUCUUGUGGUGAAAUACUGUGUUGCUUAAAUUGUUCUGCUUUGAUCUGCUUUGU